rnacentral:rRNA from 1 species
AUUGAACGCUGGCGGCAUGCCUUACACAUGCAAGUCGAACGGCAGCACGGGAGCAAUCCUGGUGGCGAGUGGCGAACGGGUGAGUAAUAUAUCGGAACGUGCCCAGUAGUGGGGGGAUAGCCCGGCGAAAGCCGGAUUAAUACCGCAUACGACCUGUGGGUGAAAGCGGGGGAUCGCAAGACCUCGCGCUAUUGGAGCGGCCGAUAUCAGAUUAGCUUGUUGGUGGGGUAAAAGCCCACCAAGGCGACGAUCUGUAGCUGGUCUGAGAGGACGACCAGCCACACUGGGACUGAGACACGGCCCAGACUCCUACGGGAGGCAGCAGUGGGGAAUUUUGGACAAUGGGCGCAAGCCUGAUCCAGCCAUGCCGCGUGUGGGAAGAAGGCCUUCGGGUUGUAACCGACUUUAGUC